UGAUUUUUGUGAAUUUGAGAGCAAGCCUGAAACUCAUUUACCAUUGUGAUCAACUGGUGUGAAAUCAAUUAGAAAAUGAACUCUCUAAACAUCUUAUACUGCUUGAAGGUGAGGUCAUUUUUGCAGAUAGCUUUAUUGAAGGGAUCAACUUAUUCCAUGAGUAACUAAAGCACUGGAAGUUUCACGUUUAAAAAGAAAAUUCAGUUCUAAAUCAAAGGAUUUAUGCAGUAAAAUGAGUAGAUGAAAUGCUCUCUGCUGUUGAAAGAACAUUUAAAUAGACAUUAAAUAAAGAUUAUUCAAAUAUCAGGCUAUUUAAAUAAAGGAAUUCUAAUGAUCCCUUUUAACUAGUUUAUGGUCUCAAAUCAUUAUGAAGUCUUUGAAAGAGCCACAGAACCUCUCCAUCAAGCAGUUUGGGUGCUUUGAUUUCCUCUAACAGGGUUUGAAAUAAAGGAUCCCAUUGUAUUUAGAGUGACAGGAGUGCACCUUUGGUGAUGGCAGCGGGUUUCCAUGGACAUAACCAAGAAUAGGAUUUGUCUCAGACUCUUACCAGAGUGCAGGAGGUCAAUUCAGCAAAGGAUACACCAGGCCAAGUUUACCCUUGAUGUGACAUCAUAGCCCUUGACAGCAUUCUGCCACAGACUGACCGUACUGUCCCUUCUGAAGUUUCAGAGAAACUAUGCCAAUGUCCUCCACUCUUGCCAAGCUACUUUUGACCCAUGACAAGUCUUCUGAAGAAGCUGACGAAUCUAUGUGCGCUUCAAAACUGUCAUUUAGAGCAAAUAGGAAACCUCUCAUUUUGGACUACGGAGUGGGGGGAUUUGCAGAUUCACCUCUAUCUGAAGAGAUCAGUGAUUUCAAGCCCUGUUCUAGGAUUCAAAACAUUCAUGAUACUGACAGGAAAUGUCAACAACGCAAACUAAUACCAACUGAUUGCAGUUCUUGCUUGUGAUCAUAUAAUUUAUUUUUCCACAUAAUGCACCAACCAAACCAGAACACAGUGGUAAGUGUCCUUUCAGCUCUCCAUUGGCUUAAAAAGAAAAACUCAAACUUUUCAACCAAUCUUUCUUUAUUUUUUUUUAAAAGUAAUAGAAACAUGUUUUAUCCAAACCAUUGUAUCCACAGGGAAAAGGGAAAGAAAGGCAAAAAGGGGCCUAAAGGGGAGAAAGGAGAACAGGGUGCUCCUGGAUUAGAUGCACCUUGCCCAUUGGGUCCUGAUGGAUUACCAAUGCCUGGCUGUUGGCAAAAGUGAUGAAUCUAACCUUACGAGCAUGAAGUUGUGUAUAUAGUGCUCCACUUUUUGUAUUUAUAGUUGAAAAUGGAAAAUUUGAUUUUACAAGUCUGAGAGAUGUUUACAUGUAGCUGCUUCUAUUUGUUUGCAAUAGUCCAUGUGUACAUCUUCUUUCACUUACAUCUGCAGUUAGAUGAUGUAUAACUGCAGGACAAACCUGCAAAGAUUGUCUCUCUAGAGAUAUCUAUACAGCGAUCAAUAACGUAAAUCUGAUUACUUCUGUAAAUUCUUAUAUUUUGGCUUGUGGACCUGCAUGGACAGUGAGUGCCAUGAACUAGUUUACAAGAAAUUGUGACCAAAUAAGAGCUAAAUGCUAUGAAAUGUACUGUACCAGCUGCCAUUGGAGUUUAUUGACUUGGCUUCCAUGUCCAUCUUAAACGCUUCACUGAUUCAUGCCACUACAUCUGCUUUUACAGACUAAAAGCAUGAGUUUGUGUGCCAAACCUGCUUGUUGUGUGAUCACGUCACAUGCUAAAUGGCUGCUCACGGUGACCUUUGAUUCCAGCUUCUGAAUUGUUUCCUUUUGUCAUCUCAAGGGAGUCACACCAUGGCUUAUUGCUAAAAAGAGAUAAAGCAGAGGAGGAUAGAAAGAGGCCUUGAAUUUUUGGGGAACAAAGUUCCGGCUGCAGGUGGAUGGCCUCCAGUCUUAUGGGUCCCGCCUGUCAAUCAGCAUCAGUUUGCCUAGCACUGCUCACAGUCAUGAAGACAUUCAUGAUAGGCCCUGUCGAGUGCUUAAUCAAGGAGGAAGGAAGUUUGAAGAAGAAACCAGGCUUCUCUGUGGGUUGUCUGGAAAGGUUACAGAGAUGCUGCAGGGAUCGCCUGAGACCAGAAGCUUCUCAGCCUUACUCAAGGAUUGGCACAGUCUGUGCUGUGUUUGUUGUAUUUGGGGACUGCUGAAGGAAGAAACAUCCUUGAGACAGGGACGAAUCGGAACACCCUCCCUGGGAGGAUAAUAGAACUGACCAGAUCCGUGCGUACCGUGGUGUGGUUUUCAGGUGAUGCAAUUUAAAAGACAUAAAACUAGCUGAACUUCUCUGCAGAAUUUUGGAAGCUAUGGUUAGUUUUCCUGUAACGGUUGCCAUGAAGGAUACAUUUCAAUAAUCUAUUCAACAUUUGUGGCGUUGGCGUUGAAGGAAACACUUCAAGUCACACGUUCAUCUUGUUUCAGUAUUAACAAUCUUUUUUUCUUUACAAUCUUUAAAGCCUUUAUAUGUAAGAAAGAAAAGAGUUUAUAUUUGUUUCACAGGCUUAACUUACUCACCUUGUUCUUUUUCUGCUGUUUUGAUGACCUUAGUGGACAUUGUCACCCAUAAAACAUUGGAGAGAAAUAAGUCUGUGAUGACUGCUGCACAUGUCAUCAUACUGCGCUGCUCCAGCUGUGGUUAUUUCUCCCCUUCUGUUCAGGUGAUGAAGUUUCUAGAGGUACAUUGGAAAAAUUUUCCUUCUCUGUUUUUUUUAUUAUUAUUAUUACUAGAAAUACUUAAUUCAUGCACAUUUGUAUAGUUUUUGCCUCAAGGUUUUUCUUUUCCAGUUUUGAGUCUCUAUAUGAUGCACUGUAGUUGGAGAGAUUAGUCUGAGAGAUGGUGCCAUAUUUGACAGAUGGAAAUUCUUUUUAAAUCACUUCAGUUUCUAGUAGAUAGUAGGGUGAUCACAAACUUUUUAAGUUACUUUUCUGAGCGUUGUCUUUCAUACGUAGACCAAAAUUAACAUCGAGAAAGGCAGGCUGUCUCCAUCCAUAUGUGGGCAUCUUGCCCUCUUGGAAUAUACAUUUUUUCUUGCUCAGUCAUUUCAAAGUUGUGAAGAUGGGAACCUGCUGUAGUUGCACUUUUCGUAUGGCUUUUCAAUAUCAGAUCGAUAUAUAGCCACUCUAAUGCUGUCUUUCACUCUGCUAAAAAAUUAUUGCCAUCUUGGUGUAUCAGAGACAAGAACAGAUUUUCUUGGGGGUAGAAAUCUUUCACAAAUUUUUUUUUUUAAGAAAGAUUAUUUUAGUGGCCUCUAUCUAAUAGUACCUUACUAACAACAAAAGUCCAACAUUAUUUGUGUGUAUAUAUAUAUAUAUACACGUAAUAUAAUAUAUAUAUAUUUACAGCCCAAUCCCAUCUUUCCAACAAUAAGAUAUAAACAAAUGUUCACAUAUAUGAGGAAAAAUACUUUUAUUUGCUUAAAUUUUCAGAAAUGCAAGCAUGAAUCUAUUUGAAUAAUUACAUUUACAAUAAUGAAAGCCUCCACAUGUCAUAGAUUCAUGUUAACAGAGUGCUACACACUAAUGUGAGCAAGGGACUUCCCGCAAAGGGGACAAGAGGAGCAUCAUGUAUAAAUCAUGAUUGAUUUAGUCGCCAGAUUGCUUCUGCUUGCUUAAGAAGCGCUGUCUCAAAAAAGCAGUGUUGAGGAGCAAGCUGCUCUCCUGACAAGAAGCAGCUCCUUACGCCUAUGUUCUGACUUGGCAUGGUUUGGGCUACCUAUAUUACAGAUGUGAAGACAGAAGAAGCAGUUGCAUGUUUUUAUCAAAUAUCAAAUACUGGCAAUCAUACAUUAAGAUCAGAUUUAUAUAUAUUUGAAAGGUCCCUCUGAGUAUUCAAAUGGAAAUAAAGUGGGAUGUUUAUUAUUUGGCUAGACAUCAUUUGGCAAUGCCAUAUUGAGAGUGUCUACAAACAGAACAUACUUAUUUUAAGAAAUAGCUACAGAAAGAGCUAUGCAUUUGCAUGCUGUCAUUAGCACUUUGAUAUUUUUUAAAUUUGUAUAUCUAUAUUUUUAAACUGUCCUGAUAGCAUCCAUUUCUAUAUGCAUCAAUAAAGCCAGCAGAACUUUGGUUCACAGUUUCUUCAUUCAGGAAAGUAGUUUUAUAGACUGUACUGUUAAAUAUUAGUCAAAACACAUUUCUCCUCAAACUCCUUGACAGUGAGACCCCACUGAUGAAACACUUAAGCACCUUUAUUCACUUUCUUUUCUGUCGUGCAAAAUGAUUUCUUUCUUUAACUCCUGCCACGUAAAAAUAAGGAAUAACAUUGUGGUUGUUCUGCUUGUUAUUUUGUUUUUGGUUUUGUUUUUUCAAAUAAUCUAAUUUAACUUUUUAAAGCCUAUUGUUCAUUUUCAUGGAAAGUUCAUUCCAUACAAAAGACCAUGGUGAAUAGCAGAUAAUUUCACAGGUUAAACUACAUAGAUUUGAUACUAAGAUUUGCAUAAAAUAUUUGCAUCUCGAAAGAUUUACUGGAAAAUGAAUCCUGACAGUAUCUAGAAAAGUUGUGUUCCGUUUAAAAAAAAA